GGACGGGCGUUUCAAAGACUACAAGGGGGGAAAAUACCGCCAAUAUGUAAGCCACGAGUCUGCACACCUCUCAGGGACAAUCCCCCCAGAGCAACCUGGAGUUAAGUGCCUUGCUCAAGGACACAAUGGUGGUGGCCGUGGGGUUAGAACCAAGAACCAAGGACCUUCUGAUUAGCAAAUGACUCGGCCAUCAUCUCUUUGUUGAGAUACUGAUCAUCCUGUAGUUUCCAUGAAGAGAGCAUGAUGAGAGACCCCAAUCCACAUAGAAACAGCAAGG